ACGAACGCUGGCGGCGUGCUUAACCCCUGCAAGUCGAACGGAAAGGCCCUGCUUGCAGGGUACUCGAGUGGCGAACGGGUGAGUAACACGUGGGUGAUCUGCCCUGCACUUCGGGAUAAGCCUGGGAAACUGGGUCUAAUACCGGAUAGGAGCCAUUUUUAGUGUGAUGGUUGGAAAGUUUUUUCGGUGUAGGAUGAGCUCGCGGCCUAUCAGCUUGUUGGUGGGGUAAUGGCCUACCAAGGCGGCGACGGGUAGCCGGCCUGAGAGGGUGGACGGCCACAUUGGGACUGAGAUACGGCCCAGACUCCUACGGGAGGCAGCAGUGGGGAAUAUUGCACAAUGGGCGCAAGCCUGAUGCAGCGACGCCGCGGGGGGGAUGACGGCCUUCGGGUUGUAAACUCCUUUCGCUAGGGACGAAGCUUUUUGUGACGGUACCUAGAUAAGAAGCACCGGCUAACUACGUG
rnacentral:rRNA from 1 species